UUCCUUUAGAAAAUAUUUAAAGGUAGUGCCUGCUCAGUGUAUUUAAUAAAUAGCUGCGGUAUCCUAACUGCACUAAGGUAGCAUAAUUAAUUGUCUUUUAAAUGGUGACUUGUUUGAAUGGUUUUAUGAGAAAAAGAUUUUCUUAAACUUUUAUAGAAUUUAUAUUUUGCGGUCAAAAUACCCUAGUAUAAAAGAAAGACGAGAAGACCCUGUUGAGUUUAACAAGAUAUUUGUUAAAAUGGGAUAUUUAGUAUCUUUUUGAUACUUUUUAGAUCCUGAACUUUUUAGUUUGGAAAAAGGAUAAAAUUACCACAGGGAUAACAGGACUAUAUUUACUAAGAGUUCUUAUUGAAGUAAAUGUUUGUUACCUCGAUGUUGAAUCGUAGUUUCUCAUUGGUGCAGCCGCUAAAUGAGUAGGUCUGUUCGACCUUUAAA
rnacentral:rRNA from 1 species